CGGGUGAAAGCAGGGGAUCUUCGGACCUUGCGCGAUUGAAUGAGCCGAUGUCGGAUUAGCUAGUUGGCGGGGUAAAGGCCCACCAAGGCGACGAUCCGUAGCUGGUCUGAGAGGAUGAUCAGCCACACUGGAACUGAGACACGGUCCAGACUCCUACGGGAGGCAGCAGUGGGGAAUAUUGGACAAUGGGCGCAAGCCUGAUCCAGCCAUACCGCAUGGGUGAAGAAGGCCUUCGGGUUGUAAAGCCCUUUUGUUGGGAAAGAAAUCCAGCUGGCUAAUACCCGGUUGGGAUGACGGUAUCCAAAGAAUAAGCACCGGCUAACUUCGUGCCAGCAGCCGCGGUAAUACGAAGGGUGCAAGCGUUACUCGGAAUUACUGGGCGUAAAGCGUGCGUAGGUGGUCGUUUAAGUCCGUUGUGAAAGCCCUGGGCUCAACCUGGGAACUGCAGUGGAUACUGGGCGACUAGAAUGUGGUAGAGGGUAGCGGAAUUCCUGGUGUAGCAGUGAAAUGCGUAGAGAUCAGGAGGAACAUCCAUGGCGAAGGCAGCUACCUGGACCAACAUUGACACUGAGGCACGAAAGCGUGGGGAGCAGACAGGAUUAGAUACCCUGGUAGUCCACGCCCUAAACGAUGCGAACUGGAUGUUGGGUGCAAUUUGGCACGCAGUAUCGAAGCUAACGCGUUAAGUUCGCCGCCUGGGG
rnacentral:rRNA from 1 species